ensembl:lncRNA
UUGGGAUCCAUUGGGGUCUGGUUUUCCUCCACUCUGCGUCUCCCCAGCACGAUGGCUGUGCUCAGCCCCAGUGGCUGUGCAAAGCUUCUGUGUGGAACGAGAUUUAAAGCAGCGCAGCAAAGAGGUGAUAGAAAAACCAAACUCUAUUAAAAACCCAUUUUCUGCAGGGAAAUGAGCCUCCGGUUCCCUCCUCGCUGUCCUGCCCUGUCCCCAACGGGGACGCUCCCACGGUGACCCUGCACCGCUGUUCUCCCGGCACCUCUGGGCUUUGCUCAUUCCUCACUUGGCUCUGGAGCUGCUGUUGGACACAGAGGGCAGCGCUGGUGCUUCCUGCGGGCACAGGGGAUGCUCUGCGUGGUUCACAGCUGCCCGCGGGGUUGGGAUGCUUUGGCGGCAGUGCCAUCGGGUAAGCAGUGCGGAGCUGCUGGAUCCACACCGGCAGCGGUCACAG